CAAAAACCUGCCACGAAGAAAAUGAUAGAAAUAAAAAAUGCACAUCAAGAUGGGUACGCUGGUACUUCAACAUGUUCGACAAAAAAUGCAAAUUCUUUUUGUAUGGAGGAUGCCAGUCUAGAAACAAUAACUUUAAAUCCAAAGUCGAAUGUGAGAAUACAGCAAAUGUUUGCACCUGUCCUAAGUCAGGAAUCUGAUGUACAGUAGUUGUCGUUUGUUUAUGUAAUAUAUACGUGUUUCUCGUUUUCUCGUUUUGUUUAUAUAGAUUAGACCGUUGGUUUUCCC
rnacentral:lncRNA from 1 species